rnacentral:lncRNA from 1 species
AGACACAGUUGGAUGGCAAUUGGAAGAGUACUGGCCCUGGGAAGACCCAGCUUUGAGCCUCAGGUUGUGUCUAAUCAUCUCUCUGUCCUUGGGCCAGUCAACUCACCUGUUCGUGCUGCCACAGAGACAGAGGGGCCACAUCAGAGAGAAAGACUCUACAGCUUGCCCAGAGUCGAGCUUAAAUGGAGCAGCAUGAUUUUUGUCUGAAAAGUCUGAGAUGGGACCAGUGGAAAGUUCCAUUCAUGCUUCAAAGAGCCAGCAGAUUCAUUCUGGUCAGAACUCUGCUUUCAGUUCAAGUUCCUGCACAAAUCUCCACAUGAAAAGAGAGCAGAAAUCCACCCGGAUGGUUUUUAUUCUGAUGACUUGUGGUGGGACUGCCAGGUUCCAUGACACGGCUUAUUCUAAGAGGGAGGGAAGCGGGUGUAGACACCCACUUUACUGCCCUUUACUGGUGUGACCUUGGCAGAGAAGCUUUCCUUCCUUCUGCACUUUGAGAAUGCUGGAAUAAGAAGCUUUCUAAAGUGCGUCUAGUCCUGAUGUUGUAGAAAUGGUGACAGUUCCAAGCCAUGCCCAGGCUCCUUGAAAGAUCUAGGCCCCUCACUGGAGGGCCCUCAGAGCUCAGGCCCAGCCUGCAGGAUCCUGAAUAUUGAGAUGGGGAACAGUGGGUUCAUUCAUUCCAGUGCACACUUGGCCACACUGUCUCAUGUCAAGGUCAUUUGAGCCCCAGACCCCUGCCCAUCUCCACGUGCCUUGGAUCUCUAGCUGGCCAGCUGGCUAAGCCAGCCAAGCUGAGGAGACCCAUCCUGGGGAGUCACAGGUGGGACCCCCCAACCCCUGCCAGGAGGCAUGAUCUUAAGACAUGGGGGGAAGAUAGGUGAGACCUGUGUGAGGCAAAGUCCCACAGCCAACUCCACUGAGUGCCACCCUAGAGGCCCCUGCCCUAGGCUACCCAGUGAUUAUGAAAGAGCUGCUCCCUGUCAAUCAGGGCCUCCACCCCACGAUGAGGGGUAGCGGAAAGGGCCAGAUUCUGUUUCCUCAUCCCACCCAGGCAAGGGAAGGCUUUGUGUGGCAACUUCCCAAUUUCAUGUUUUAAUUUUCAAAAAGGAAAUAAAUUCUCUCCAGCUG